CCUGGCUCAGGGAUGAACGCUGGCGGCGUGCUUAACACAUGCAAGUCGAACGGUGAAGCCAAGCUUGCUUGGUGGAUCAGUGGCGAAACGGGUGAGUAACACGUGAGCAACCUGCCCUGGACUCUGGGAUAAGCGCUGGAAACGGCGUCUAAUACUGGAUACGAGACGCAACCGCAUGGUUAGUGUUUGGAAAGAUUUUUCGGUCUGGGAUGGGCUCGCGGCCUAUCAGCUUGUUGGUGAGGUAAUGGCUCACCAAGGCGUCGACGGGUAGCCGGCCUGAGAGGGUGACCGGCCACACUGGGACUGAGACACGGCCCAGACUCCUACGGGAGGCAGCAGUGGGGAAUAUUGCACAAUGGGCGGAAGCCUGAUGCAGCAACGCCGCGUGAGGGAUGACGGCCUUCGGGUUGUAAACCUCUUUUAGCAAGGAAGAAGCGAAAGUGACGGUACUUGCAGAAAAAGCGCCGGCUAACUACGUGCCAGCAGCCGCGGUAAUACGUAGGGCGCAAGCGUUAUCCGGAAUUAUUGGGCGUAAAGAGCUCGUAGGCGGUUUGUCGCGUCUGCUGUGAAAUCUGGGGGCUCAACCCCCAGCCUGCAGUGGGUACGGGCAGACUAGAGUGCGGUAGGGGAGAUUGGAAUUCCUGGUGUAGCGGUGGAAUGCGCAGAUAUCAGGAGGAACACCGAUGGCGAAGGCAGAUCUCUGGGCCGUAACUGACGCUGAGGAGCGAAAGGGUGGGGAGCAAACAGGCUUAGAUACCCUGGUAGUCCACCCCGUAAACGUUGGGAACUAGUUGUGGGGUCCAUUCCACGGAUUCCGUGACGCAGCUAACGCAUUAAGUUCCCCGCCUGGGGAGUACGGCCGCAAGGCUAAAACUCAAAGGAAUUGACGGGGACCCGCACAAGCGGCGGAGCAUGCGGAUUAAUUCGAUGCAACGCGAAGAACCUUACCAAGGCUUGACAUAUACGAGAACGGGCUAGAAAUAGUCAACUCUUUGGACACUCGUAAACAGGUGGUGCAUGGUUGUCGUCAGCUCGUGUCGUGAGAUGUUGGGUUAAGUCCCGCAACGAGCGCAACCCUCGUUCUAUGUUUGCCAGCACGUAAUGGUGGGAACUCAUGGGAUACUGCCGGGGGUCAACUCGGAGGAAGGUGGGGGAUGACGUCAAAUCAUCAUGCCCCUUUAUGUCUUGGGCUUCACGCAUGCUACAAUGGCC
rnacentral:rRNA from 1 species